ACGUUCUCUGCUUCAGCCUUCUCGUUUGUAGUAGUCCUCAUAGCUCAUCGACUCCCAUCUACUUGAUCCGCCAAGAUGAUAAACUCAAUCACAAUAAUGAACUGGAGAUUAAAAAAAUCCGGCAACAUGUGAGUUACAUAAGUAAUCUUCAAGAUCUCAAUGUUCUAUCUAUAUUGUUAAAAUGAGAAGAAGAUUACCCUGCACCAACACGAGCGAGUUCACUUGCAAAACAUAGCCAACCCGAGCUU
rnacentral:lncRNA from 1 species